UGCAAGUCGAGCGGGAGGAUCCUUCGGGAUGCCGGCGAGCGGGGACGGGUGAGUAAUGCCUAGGAAUCUGCCUGGUAGUGGGGGAUAACGUUCGGAAACGGACGCUAAUACCGCAUACGUCCUACGGGAGAAAGUGGGGGAUCUUCGGACCUCACGCUAUCAGAUGAGCCUAGGUCGGAUUAGCUAGUUGGUGGGGUAACGGCUCACCAAGGCGACGAUCCGUAACUGGUCUGAGAGGAUGAUCAGUCACACUGGAACUGAGACACGGUCCAGACUCCUACGGGAGGCAGCAGUGGGGAAUAUUGGACAAUGGGCGAAACGUGAUCCAGCCAUGCCGCGUGUGUGAAGAAGGUCUUCGGAUUGUAAAGCACUUUAAGUUGGGAGGAAGGGCAGUCAGUUAAUACCUGGUUGUUUUGACGUUACCAACAGAAUAAGCACCGGCUAACUUCGUGCCAGCAGCCGCGGUAAUACGAAGGGUGCAAGCGUUAAUCGGAAUUACUGGGCGUAAACGCGCGGAG
rnacentral:rRNA from 1 species